ACCUGAGCUAUUUCCUCUGAUGUGCUGAUCAUUCUAGCCAUGCCCUUUAGGUUAGUUACAACAGCAUCAACAGCCAUUGAAAUACCACGCCUUAAAUCCAUUGCAUUCAUGCCAGCAGCAACAGACUUGCACCCCUCAGUAAAUAUUGCUUUAGUCAAUACAGUAGCACAAGUGCCAUACCAUCUCCAGCAGUAUCAUUGGUCGCAUUAGCAACCUGCUUUACAAGGCUUGCACCAACAUUCUUGACUCUAUCCUUGAACUCAAUGCUCUUGGCAACAGUCACACCGUCCUUUGUGACUUUCGGUGAACCAUAGCUCUGCUCAAUAACCACAUUGCGUCCCUGCAUAAUAGACACGACCCAUUGUCACUUUGACUGCAUCUGCCAACUCCUCAACACCCCUCAGCAUCAAAGCACGGGCCUCAACUCCAAACUUGAUAUCCUUGGCAGCAUAGUUCCUGCUCAAGGCAAGCCUGCUUCCAACCU
rnacentral:sRNA from 1 species